CACAUUAUUUGGAUUUAGGGUCUGAUAAACUCAUAGAAUUAACCGGGUGUUUUCAUCAGCUUCUUCUCUUGAUUUUUCUCUAUGAGAAUGGAGUCAAAUAACAGCACUAUAUUC